GACGAACGCUGGCGGCGUGCUUAACACAUGCAAGUCGAACGGAAAGGCCCUGCUUUUGUGGGGUGCUCGAGUGGCGAACGGGUGAGUAACACGUGGGUAACCUGCCCUUGACUUUGGGAUAACUUCAGGAAACUGGGGCUAAUACCGGAUAGGAGCUCCUGCUGCAUGGUGGGGGUUGGAAAGUUUCGGCGGUUGGGGAUGGACUCGCGGCUUAUCAGCUUGUUGGUGGGGUAGUGGCUUACCAAGGCUUUGACGGGUAGCCGGCCUGAGAGGGUGACCGGCCACAUUGGGACCGAGAUACGGCCCAGACUCCUACGGGAGGCAGCAGUGGGGAAUAUUGCACAAUGGGCGGAAGCCUGAUGCAGCAACGCCGCGUGCGGGAUGACGGCCUUCGGGUUGUAAACCGCUUUCGCCUGUGACGAAGCGUGAGUGACGGUAAUGGGUAAAGAAGCACCGGCUAACUACGUG
rnacentral:rRNA from 1 species